GACAGUCGCGCGGCGAAGCCGAAAGGCUCGCUGUGAGGAAAGUCCGGGCUCCACAGGGCAAGGAUAACGGGUAACGCCCGCCCAGAGCGAUCUGAGGAAAAGUGCAACAGAAAUAGACUACCUGCGCACUUUGUCUUUCCGGGUUUGCAGCCAAAGCGCAAGCGGUCUCACCGCUUACGCCUGUUCCUCCGGCGUGAUGGAGGCAGAACGUGCAGACUGGGAAAGGCAAAGUGCUGCGGGAAAAGGUGGAAAGGUGCGGUAAGAGCGCACCCGUCGGCUCGAGAGUGUCCGAUGCUGUAAACUCUAUCCGGAGCAACACCGGUAUGGGAGCAAUAGGCUUGCCCGGCCGCUCCCGGGGUGGCUAAAGCGCCGCGGCAACACGGCGCGUAGAUAGAUGACUGUCAAAUACAGAACCCGGCUUACAGUUAUGCUCG
rnacentral:RNase_P_RNA from 1 species